rnacentral:rRNA from 1 species
UACGAAGGGUCCUAGCGUUGUUCGGAAUCACUGGGCGUAAAGUGCAUGUAGGUGGCUUAAUAAGUCAGGUGUGAAAGCCUCGGGCUCAACCCGAGAAGUGCAUUUGAUACUGUUAAUCUUGAGUAUUGGAGAGGGUAGUAGAAUUCCUGGCGUAGUGGUGAAAUACGUAGAUAUCAGGAGGAAUACCGGUGGCGAAGGCGGCUACCUGGCCAAAUACUGACACUGAGAUGCGAAAGCGUGGGGAUCAAACAGG